CCUCAAGUUGGAGGAGCACAAAUGGUGUUCUUGGCUGAAGGAGACUGUGUGUGACUUGGCAAGAAGGUUGAGUCACCGAACACCCACCUGAACUGAGAAAAAAGCAGGCUCACACACCAGUUGACAAGGGGGCACUCUCAUGAGUUACACCAGUGAAAUUCCACUGACAUAAAGGGAACGAAUGGGAGAGUCAGGCCCAAGGAUUCCCAGCCUUGAAACCAGGAACUACAAUUCCCAGGAUGCAUUGGGGAGGAGGAGAAGAAAGAGGAAAAAGGAAGACUGAGCUCUAUGAAAGUGUGAGGGUAAUAACGUUACCUUUGCUGUUAUCAAGGUUCCUGAAUCCUCCUCAAAUCCUCCUCAAAAUUGGUAUUUCCUUUUUCGUUUAUGGACUAUAACAAUGAACUGGAACAAAUGCACUAGGUUUACAUUAGAGAAUUUCCCUUCCUAAAUUCUCCAAAUGGCCUGCUGAAGCUAGGAACGGACAAAGGUCAAGGGUAUUUUAUAAGAUCAGAACACUUCCCCUGAGUUUCUUUAAGUAAAACAUUUAAUGGAACGUUUUGUGUCUGAAAACAUAGUUCUGCAUGUAAAAGAGAGGGAAUUAAAGGAGAAGUAAAAGAAAACAGUGAAGCCUUAAUUUUAAAAAAUGGGAUGUCAAAAUAAAGGAAGAAGAAACUAGUGGCCAAAUAAGAUGUAUAGAUAUUGUGGGCCUUUUCCUGCUCUGACUCAUGCUGGUUUUACACCUCUAACUCAAUCAGUUUGGUCAGAUGGCAUCCUUUUGUGGGCUGUUGCUUUGCUACUUGUUACAAAGCACAGUACUCUGUAUGUAAUAACUCAUUAAUCAGCACUAACUUGUAAGUCUAUAUUUGUUUUUUAAAAAUGGCCUCAAUAUUUUGGCUACAAUUUGUUGCAUGUGCAAUUGUGCUCUUUGUCCUAACUACCUAAAGGCAUCUACAAAGCAAGCAGUUACCCAUCUAAUGGGUAUAAACAUGCACAUUAUUAUGCCUGCAGUUUUGCACCCAUACUUAAUUAUUACUGAAGGAUAAAAACUGUGCCUGCAAAACUGGAAACUAUGUUGAGGCUUAGCUAAAAACAAGGCAUAUUUUAUCAGACACAGUAUCAAAUACAAUGUUAGGAAUUAUAAAUGGUUUUGGCAUCUUUUGUAUUAGGUUUUAGCUAUUAGUUCAAAUUAUGACCAUACCUACACA